rnacentral:lncRNA from 1 species
UUUUUUAUUAUACCAUUUUGUCUUUAUUUCAUAAAGAAAAGUAAAAAGUGAAAUAUGAAAACAUCUCAAUAAUCCCCCCACCUUCCCCUCUUAGCCUGGAUGCCUGACUUGGUUUGGUGUUCAACAACAAAGCUGACUGAUUAAGAAACAACCCCCUAGCCCUUAGCCCCUACCCUUGGUACUUCUGAGUGGUUUGGAUGGGUAUACGAUAGGAAAUAAGGGCUAGGGAGUAAGGGGGUUAGAGUCUAGGGUGUAGGGACUAGGGAGUAAGGGGGUUAGAGGCUAGGGUGUAGGGGCUAGGGGGUAAGGGGGUUACAGGCUAGGGUGUAGGGGCUAGGGAGUAAGGGGGUUAGAUGCUAGGGUAUAGGGGCUAGGGAGUAAGGAGGUUAGAGGCUAGAGUGUAGGGGCUAGGGCGUAAAAUGGUUAGAGGCUAGGGUGUAGGGGCUAGGGAGUAAGGGGGUUAGAGACUAGGGGGUAGGGGCUAGGGAGUAGGGGGGUUAGAGGCUAGGGUGUAGGGGCUAGGGAGUAAAAUGGUUAGAGGCUAGGGUGUAGGGGCUAGGGAGUAAGAGGGUUAGAGGCUAGGGAGUAAGGGAGUAAAGUCUAGGGUGUAGGGGCUAGGGAGUAAGAGGGUUAGAGGCUAGGGAGUAAGGGAGUAAAGCCUAGGGUGUAGGGGCUAGGGAGUAAAAGGGUGAAGUCUAGAGGGUAGAGGGUUUCUGGCCCAGUACUUGUUAUUUAAAACAGAAUCAUCCUGGCAGCCAUGUUACAACUCCAUCCUCCUAAUGAAAGAUAGACCCCUGUGAAGAUGACAUGCUGUGUCUCAAAUGGCACCAUAUUCCCUAUAGAGUGGACCAGGUCAAAAGUAUUGCACUAUAUAGGGAAUAAGGUGCCAUUUGGAAUGCAUCCCAUGUACCCUCCUCCACUACUGCAUCUCCUGGUGCCCUACAGCACCCUAUUAUACAACACAAAGUGGCUUAAAGUAGAAUACUGACAGACAGACAAAACAAAGUGAUUUUGUUGGUGGCAUCUCUGUCUCCUCUGCUGUUUUCCUCUCCUCCUCUUCUCCUCUUCUUCACCAUUCACAUCAAGGAGUGGCAUCCCCUUUCCUUUCCUGUUCAAUGGCUGAAACAGAAGACAGCAAGACACAUACUGUAUACAUGUGGUGGAGAUGUUGGGGAGGGAGAAUGUGAAUUGGGCUCCGGUGGUGUGUGGUUGUGUUGCAGAGACAAUACAGAGUUCAUCCCAAAUGGUACCCUAUUCCCUAAAUAGUGCACUACUUUGACCUGGGCCUAUAGGGAGAGAGUGAUGCUGCUGAUUCAGUGAUUUGUAGUAAAGAAGUGUUUGUAUACUGCAGAGCCAGAGGAAGGUUGACAGCAGUAGAACUGACAACACCUAUAGCUGCUAAGAUGAUGGCAGGGGAGAGAGAGAGAGGGGGGAGAGAGAUGGGGGGAGAG